GCUGCCUGGAUGUACAGACGCCCAAUGGUCUCCUGGUCCGCGACUGCACGCCUGCGCGGCGGUCUGAACCCCUUAGAGCGCACAGGAUUGGGAACAAAGGGAAGUGAUUGGGGUUACCAGACCUAGAAGCUCAGUGAAGAAGUUUUGUGUCACUGAAACUCAGACUCUCAGAGGAAGAGGUGCUGUCUCUCUGGUGAUACUUCUGAGGGACACAAAGAGAGAGAAUCCAAAAGGGUGGAAACCCGAACCAAUUGUUACUGCUGAGGACCCUUUUGGACAGAGUUUAACAAGAGACGAGUGGGCAAAGGAGAGUGUGGCUUGAGAGCCCAGCUCCAGCAUCACAAAGAUAAGUAUAAAGGGUGGGAAUUUUUGCAGGGGGAAAAUAGCUUACUAACCUGCAUGCCAUAUGUUUUAGAACUAUUUCUGGACUUUCUAUUUUGUUCUGUUCUUCUGACAGUUCAUGUGCUAGUACCACAUUGUUUUAUGUCUCUGCUAUGACUAAUGCCCACUCAGUCUUCUUUUUCAGAAUAUUCCCCGUUCCUUUAUCUUUGUUCACUAUUUCUUUUUCCCAAAGCAACAUUGCUGUAAGUAUGGAUUGGUAUAAUGUUAAACCUAUCAAUUGGUAGAAAUAAUUGUCCAGUGUAUGAUGUAGAAUAUUCAGGACAGGGCUUUCUAUGAGUUCAAGGCUUCUUUGUUGUUGCUUAAAUCCAUAAUUUAUAACACCCCCACUUUCUGGACCAAAUUCUAUAUAAGUUCAUGUUCUUAGUCACCAGCAACAGAACUGUCCUCUGACUGGUUCAUCCAGAGAAAAGACUGCACUGAAAAAUUUUGAGUAGGUUUCAGAAUUUUCAACAGCCCUGCAGAACAAGACAUAGAGGCCAUGUAGCCAUAACCCAGCCCAAACCAUAGUACCUCCUCUGCUCCUGGCAAGGUGAGGCUGUGGCUUUCACAUUGACCACACAGCAUGGACCUGGCUCUUCUGCUAUCAUCACUGGUUCCUGUUUCCAUGUAUGGGUUGGGGACAUCCCACCAAACAAGCCCAAGUCAUGCACCCACCACUGGCAGGACAAACUGUAAGGGAGGGGAAGCAGAAUCUGGAUGUUCUAACUUCCCAAAACAUAUCGAGAGAGUACAGAGCUCUCUCAUCCAGGUGUCCACAGAUAGCUUCCAUUGAGCCUACAAAUGAGAAAUCUGUGUCCCAUUGUCCAAGACUUCCCUGCCAUUAAUGGGAAAGUUAAUAUACAUGCUCAUCUCUGGGCCAGUAACAGCCAAUUACAGUUGCCCUAGAAAUGCUUGUUCUCUUGACCACAUUCCUUACCCUCUCUAGGUCUUUACCUUCUCAUAUAUAAAGGGAGGUAGAAAGGUGGGAGAGCUGAAGAAGGAAAGGCUGUAGGUCACGUAUUUUAUUAAUUCUUUUGUUUAACACAGCAUAUGUUAAACAGUAUGUAUAAGUUCUAUGCAAUUUUAAAUAUAAGAAAUGGAACAAAUACUGUGGACCCUGCUUAUAAAAUAUAUUAAACAUAAUUUAGAAAAUCCCUGUUAUCUCCAGUGACAUCUUCCUCCUUCCCACAUAUAGUCUUUUUUCUGAAUUUUGUGUUAAUCACAUUCUCUUUUAUACUUUCCAAACAUAAGCAUGUAUUGCUAAACUUCAUGUUGUUUAAUCUUCUCCAUUUCCUUCUGCUUUAUAGAAAUGAAACUGGAAAAUAUGUAUUCUUCUGUCACUUGCUUUUUCCAGCAACAAUAUCCUUAUGAGAUUCACCAAUGUUAAUGUGUACGCUCUUUGUUCACUUUUCAAUGCUGUAUGGUGUUCCGUUGUAUGAAUAUUCCAUAAUGCAUUUACCCAUUCUUUUUUUCCUGGCCAUUGGGGUCAUUUACCAUUUUUAGCUAUAGUAGCAGUGUUGCUGUGAACACAAAAUACCUGACAAAUGUUUCUCUAGGGACUGUAUCUUGAAAUGUAAUUCCUGGAUUAUAGAGUAGGGCAUCUUCAACCUUGUUAUUUUCCAAAAUGGCUGUAAAUUCCUAUAGUAACCCUCCCUGUAUCCUUGUCCCUUGUAAUGUGAUUUGGAGCUCCUCCCAUCAGGAGGUAGAGUCUGUUGUUUCAUCUCUUGACUGUGGGGUGGUGCUGUUCUUUAUCCAAUAGAAUGUGUUGGAAGUAAUGGUGUGCUUGUUCCAAGUCUCUGAGUACUUCCCCUCCCUUGAAACUUCCGCUGCCAUGUGAACUGCCCAGGUUAAUCUGUGGUAGAUGUGACACUAUGGGGAGCAGAGAAGAGCCAUCCAUAACCAAACCCACUGUAUUAUUUUCCUAUUGCAGUUGUAACAAAUUACCAAAACUUAGUUGUUAAAAAUAAUACAAAUUUAUUAUCUUACAGUUCUGAAGAUCAGAAGUCAAACAUGGGUCUUACUAGACUAAAAUUGAAGUGUCUUUUGGAGAUCAUAAGGGAGAAUCUAUUUUCUUUUCUUGUCUACCUUUUAGAAACCUCCCACAUUCUGUGGAAAAUGGCCCCUUCUCCAUUUCAAAGCCAGCAGUAUAGCAUCUUCAAACAGUUCCCCCUCUCUGACUUGUGAUUCCAUCAUCACAUCUCCUGCUAUCCUCCUGUUUCCUUACUUCUUUGUAAGAAUCUUUGUGAUUACAUUGGGCCCAGGCAGAUAAUCCAGGACAAUCCUCCCUUUUCAGGAUUCCAUCUGCAAAAUCCUGAUGAGACACAGCCAUUGCUAACUGAUAACAUACAUGUUUUAUCUUCAGUUUCUUAAUUUGGAUACUAGAUCAUUAAUUUUGAGACUUUUUCCUUUUGGAUAGAGCAUAUAUGAUUAUGUAUUGUCCUCUAAAUUCUGCUGACAUGUCAAAAUUUUUGAUAUUUAAUAUUUUAUUGUUAUUCAAUUCUAAACAUUUUCUAAGUUCCAAUAUUAAUGAACUGGUUUUUGGUCCAUGAGUUGCUUAGAUCAUGGCUUUUAAAUUUCCAAGCAUACAGCAAAGGAAACAACCAACAAAACUAAAAGGCAACCAACGGAAUGGGAAAAGAUAUUUGCAAAUGACAUAUCGGACAAAGGGCUAGUAUCCAAAAUUUAUAAAGAGCUCACCAAA